UACGAGGGAUCCUAGCGUUGUUCGGAAUUAUUGGGCGUAAAGGGUGCGUAGGUGGCCUUACAAGUCAGUUGUGAAAGCCCCGGGCUCAACCCGGGAAGUGCUUCUGAUACUGUUUGGCUUGAGUACUGGAGAGGAUAGUGGAAUUCCAGGUGUAGUGGUGAAAUACGUAGAUAUCUGGAGGAACACCGGCGGCGAAGGCGGCUAUCUGGCCAUGUACUGACACUGAUGCACGAAAGCGUGGGGAGCAAACAGG
rnacentral:rRNA from 1 species